CGAAAUGUACUUUUUUUCUACUCCCCAACAUCAUUAAUGGUUUCGUUGCUACUAUAUUCGUCCAUCUAUAUAAGGGCAUGUCUGCAUCAUUUAGCCUACUAUAUCUGAAAUACUUUUUUCUUAGAACUCUAGCUACUAGAGAUUUUGAGUUAUGUACCAAGCGCCAUAAUUAUUUGCUUGUUUGCCUAGUAAAGCUAGGUUGAAGUCAUGAAUCAUCCAAAAACACUAUUAAUUAAAAGAAAGGGAAGUUGGUAAGGUAUAUAUUAUGUGAAGAAAAAAAAAAAAAAACAACGGUCAGGCUCCAAGGUUUUUAAGAAACUUAACGAACCCUCUGUGCAACUAACUAACUCGUGCUCCACUUUGGUUCUAUUUCGAUCUCAUACUCAGCUCGACAGCUCGUCUCGGCGACUCCGUCUUCAAUUCUCUCUGCAUCACCGCAGUUUCUCUCUUCUUUCUUCCCCACCGUCACUUCCGGAGAGGUAACUAACUCGUCCUCCACUAAGUUCUGUACUCUCAUACUCACGCCGUCAUCUUCGUGAGCGACUCGUCU
rnacentral:lncRNA from 1 species